ACAAUGGAGAGUUUGAUCCUGGCUCAGGACGAACGCUGGCGGCGUGCUUUAUACAUGCAAGUCGAACGAGAAUCU
rnacentral:rRNA from 1 species